UGCCAGCCGCCGCGGUAAUACGGAGGGUGCAAGCGUUAAUCGGAAUUACUGGGCGUAAAGCGUGCGUAGGCGGUGCAUUAAGUUGGAAGUGAAAUACCUGGGCUCAACCCAGGAACUGCUUUCAAAACUGGUGCACUAGAGAAUAGUAGAGGAUGGCGGAAUUUCCGGUGUAGAGGUGAAAUUCGUAGAUAUCGGAAGGAACACCAAUGGCGAAGGCAGCCAUCUGGGCCAUUUCUGACGCUGAGGUGCGAAAGCGUGGGGAGCAAACAGGAUUAGAUA
rnacentral:rRNA from 1 species